AACGAACGCUGGCGGCAGGCUUAACACAUGCAAGUCGAACGCCCCGCAAGGGGAGUGGCAGACGGGUGAGUAACGCGUGGGAAUCUACCCAGUUCUACGGUACAACAGUUGGAAACGACUGCUAAUACCGUAUACGCCCUAAGGGGGAAAGAUUUAUCGGAAUUGGAUGAGCCCGCGUUGGAUUAGCUAGUUGGUGGGGUAAUGGCCUACCAAGGCGACGAUCCAUAGCUGGUCUGAGAGGAUGAUCAGCCACACUGGGACUGAGACACGGCCCAGACUCCUACGGGAGGCAGCAGUGGGGAAUAUUGGACAAUGGGCGCAAGCCUGAUCCAGCCAUGCCGCGUGAGUGAUGAAGGCCUUAGGGUUGUAAAGCUCUUUCAGUAGGGAAGAUAAUGACGGUACCUACAGAAGAAGCCCCGGCUAACUUCGUGCCAGCCGCCGCAGUAACAC
rnacentral:rRNA from 1 species